rnacentral:rRNA from 1 species
UACGGGGGGGGCAAGCGUUGUUCGGAAUUAUUGGGCGUAAAGCGCGUGUAGGCGGCUUUGCAAGUCGGGUGUGAAAGCCCUCAGCUCAACUGAGGAAGUGCGCCCGAAACUGCAGAGCUUGAGUACCGGAGAGGAUGGCGGAAUUCCCCAAGUAGAGGUGAAAUUCGUAGAUAUGGGGAGGAACACCGGUGGCGAAGGCGGCCAUCUGGACGGAUACUGACGCUGAGACGCGAAAGCGUGGGUAGCAAACAGG